UUAAGUUCAGCGGGUAUCCCUACCUGAUCCGAGGUCAAAGUAAAAAAAGAGGCUUAAUGGAAAGAGGUCUACUAGAAUCGUGACGCAAUGUGCUGCGCACGAAGCCAACAUACCGGCUGCCAAUAAAUUUAAGGUGAGUCCACGCACUAAAGCGGAACAAACACCCAACACCAAGCAGAGCUUGAAGGUUUAAAUGACGC
rnacentral:misc_RNA from 1 species